rnacentral:lncRNA from 1 species
UGUAGCAACAAAAAUAAAAAAAUAAAAACAAAAGACCCCCCUGUCGACCCUCUCCAUUCUCACUUUCCCCGUGUUCUCACCCUAACAUCCAUAUCUCCCUUUACCCCACUGCCAUAACCCCCCUCAUCCCUUUACCUCACUGCCGAUCACCCUCCUCCCUUUACCACACCGCCGGUCACCUCUCCUUCUUCCUUACCCACCAACCACCGUCACCCCUCUUAACACCUCCCCUUAAAACCGCCACCCUCCUCCCUUUACCUCACCGCCGACCACCUCCUCGCCGCCGCACACCCGCCGCCGGUCACCUCACCUCGUUAACCCUCUCCCUCACCUCUAGCCGCCGCUCACUUCGCCACCUUCCCCUCCUCCACAUCCGCCGUACACCGACGACCACCCCCUCCCCAUUCUUCGCCGGUAAACGCCUCCUGCCGCUCACCAUCCCCCACACCCUUCCCACCUACCCGCACCGACCACCUAACCCAGCUUUAUCACCGCCGCCGACCACCUACAUCACCCCCUCCGCCGUAAACCCUUCCUCACCACUCGCCGGCCACCCCACUUCCUCCACUACCGCCGACCACCUCCUAAACCCACACUUACAGCCGGAUUCAAUUUGGGGAUCAAACUUUAAUCGAACAAUUUUCUUUGAUCUUCUUGCUCGCGCGAUUCUCAGGGUAUUGCUUGCGGGUUGGAUUCGGUUGGGGGAAUGGAAUGCCAGGUGCAGGAACUUCGAGUCGGGCCAACAAGAAACAAGGCUGAGACACUCGCUCAGGAAAGGGCCCAGUGGGACACAGGCGGGUGAUGAGGUGUUGGGUGAUGCGGAGUAGAGCGAGGAUGCAGCGAGGAUGACAACUUAUAUCUUUUAUUUAUUUUUUUAUCUUUAUGCUGUUUUUAAUCCUCGUCUAUUGGUUUGUACUUAAAUACAUUAAACAGGUUGGAUGGGUUUUGGGGUUGGUUGAAACACUUGUGGAUAGUUGUUGAACGUGAUAUUAUAUAUUAUCUUUUGCUAGUGUUUGCGUGAUUAGGCUGGUAUUUGUAGCCGCUUUCGUUCGUGUGUCCGAGGUUAGGAGUUGUUUGCUGAGCGCGUAUCGAAUUGGAGGGCUUAUGUGGAAACGACUGGCACUUUGACAGUCUCACAUACUCAGCUAAGUCGUUUCCCUUUUUGUUGUUAUACAUUAUUUUUAUUUAUUUCGUUUGUAGUUUUUAUUUUUAGGUAGUUGUAGAGUCGUAUUUUCGUUCUUGCAUUAGGGACAAUGCAAUCUCUAAGUGUGGGGAUGGGAUACAUGUAAAUAAUCGAGUCUUAAUUAUUGAAAAAUACAAAAAAAUUAAAAAAUUGAAAAAAUCCAAAAAAAUUGAAAAAUCAGAAAAUGUCUUUCGAAUAAAAAAGAAGUUUGCAUUUUUAAACGGAAAAUGAUAGAAAUGAUAAAUGUUUGCUCGGGGUCGAAUAAUAAUAAUAUGAGAUUAUAAUAAAUCGAGCUUGCGUCUAGUUAGGGAUGUGUGGAUAGGCCCGGGUUUGGUUUUAAGUCCCUUUGAGCUAAUAUACCUUAAUUGUCGGUCUGCCAGUGGGUUUUCGCCUGGGAAAUAUGGGAAAUUAAAACCGCCAAUAAUAGUAUAAGGGGCACCGUUAUAAGUUAAAACUGUCAGGGUUUGUGGCCAUGAAAAAAAAAGAAUAAAAGUGAGCUAGAAACUAAAUGAAAGUAACACAGGUCUAUGUAAUCUGAGUUGGGGAUAGCGACUCUACAGCCGGAAUGCCUCUGGGAUGUGUGAAAUCGAAUUGCCGAUUAAAAGUACCGAAACCUAAGUAAUCUGUGGUUGGGGAUAGCGACUCUACAGCCGGAAUACCUCUUGGUUAGGGAAAGCAUCGUCUAGACUCACGAGAAAGAAAAAGAAAAAAAAAAAGAAAAAAAAGAAGCAAAGCAAAAAUAGAAAAAAAAUGAAAAAAAAGAAAAGAAAAAAAUUUGAUUGUAAACUCUUUUGGUUUUGAUAUAAGACGGUUGGGAAUUGGUCAAAUGAUCGUUCCUUUAGUCCUAUAAAUUUGAGGCGGGAGUAGGUGGACUGUAGAUUCUAGUGUGAGGCCCUAGGUAGAUUGACCGCACUUAAAUUAAAAUCACAUGAUAAGGGCUUAGUAUUGGAUUCGGGUUUAAGGGGACAAGUAUAUUCGCAAUCGCAGCUAACGCAAGCCUUGGUUUUAAUUAAAUAUACCUAUGCUUUUGACCCGGGUGAAUAUUUGUAUAUGAUUCCGUUGCAUAAUUCUUUUUCGAGGACGAAAAAAGAGUAAGUGUGGGGAUGUUUGAUGUAUUGCAAAAUACAUCAUUUAUUCGUGUAAAGUUUGUAUAGUUUUCGUUAUAUUUAGUUUUGAUUUUCGUUAGAAUAUGUAUACUAUUGAUCAAAUCGUGUUUUGCAGGUCUUGAUGCUCAAAUAUGCGAGAAACCGAGUAAAACGAGUUAAAAUAUUGAAGUGUCAAGUCUUGAAGCAUGUUGGAAAGGUUGAAGAGUUGAAAUAGAGUUUAAAAGCUGAAAAAUCACUUUCUGGCACCCCAUCACCCACUGAGCAAGUUUCUGGCACCAGGCGAGAGUCUGAAGUUAGUUAAUGAGCUGAAAAACAAGGUGGCACCCCACCACCAAGUCCCUGAUUUUCUGGCGCCCAGCCAGAACGUUCUGAUUUGGUAAUUAUUACGAAUUUAGUAAAGGGUGUUGAUACAUAUCGUGUGGAUACGGCUCGACUCGACUCGGUUCGACUCGGCUACGAAGUGAAGGCCGUAGUCAAGACAACCUCCUGUCUUGACUCGGUAUGCGUUUUACUUUGUAAAGUUAGAUGUAGAUGCAACUGCGUGUGUGCACUUUGCAUUUAGAUUAUGUUUAUUAGUUGUCUGUUUGUUGUUGGCUCAACAUGUCCAAGCCCAAGCUCUAGUGUCUUGGCCCAUAACAUGAGGAAGUUUAGGCCCAAUCACAAAUGGGACGAAAUUAGAAGGUCCAUCAAAUGAUGAAAACACUAUUGUGAUGAAAACCCUUUUGGUGAAAACCAAAAGGGACGAAAACACUAUGGGACGAAAUCAAGGGAUUUUGUCCAGAUCUUAGAUUUCGUCAUGUGUUUUUGUGGGCCAUUUGAUUUCGUCAAGCAUGUUAGUAUAUAUUCACAGACAACAGACAUAACACUUAGAGAAGUCCGAAUAGAUUUCACUGAGCGAACACAUUGUAACACACACUGAGAGUUUACAGAGACCAUUUGUAAACACCGCAUUGUAACCGUUUUCUAGCGUUAAUACAUUGAGUGUUAAUCGUU